AGAGUUUGAUCCUGGCUCAGAWYGAACGCUGGUAGCGUGGAUUAGGCAUGCAAGUCGAACGGGAUCCGUGAAGCAGCAAUGCAGAUCGGUGAGAGUGGCGGAAGGGCGAGGAACACGUGGGCAAUCUGUCCUAAAGGUGGGGAAAACCUCGGGAAACUGAGGCUAAUACCGAAUGCGUCCGGGGGAGGGCAUCCCCCCCCGGGCAAAGGGGGCCGCAAGGCUCCCCCUUUUCGAGGAGCUCGCGCACCAUCAGCUAGUUGGCGGGGUUACGGCCCACCAAGGCCUACGGUUAGCUGGUCUGAGAGGAUGGCCAGCCGCACUGGGACUGAGAUACUGCCCAGACUCCUACGGGAGGCUGCAGUCGAGGAUCAUUCGCAAUGGGGGAAACCCUGACGAUGCGACGCUGCGUGGAGGACGACGGCCUUCGGGUUGUAAACUCCUGUCAUCGGGGAAAAGGCGAGGGAGCCCAACACGCUCCUUAGUUGAUGGUACCCGAAGAGGAAGCGACGGCUAACUCUGUGCCAGCAGCCGCGGUAAUACAGAGGUCGCGAGCGUUGUUCGGAUUUACUGGGCGUAAAGGGCGCGUAGGCGGCGAGGCGUGUCGGAUGUGAAAUCUCCGGGCUCAACCCGGAAAGUGCGUCCGAAACUGCCCCGCUCGAGUGCGGGAGGGGGAAGGGGAAUAUAGGGUGUAGCGGUGAAAUGCGUUGAUAUCCUAUAGAACACCGGAGGCGAAGGCGCCUUCCUGGAACGCAACUGACGCUGAGGCGCGAAAGUCGGGGGAGCAAACAGGAUUAGAUACCCUGGUAGUCCCGACCUUAAACGGUGCGCAUUCGGGGUGGGGGGAUUCCAACCCCCCCGUCCCUGAGCUAACGCGUUAAAUGCGCCGCCUGGGGAGUACGGCCGCAAGGCUAAAACUCAAAGAAAUUGACGGGGGCCCGCACAAGCAGAGGAGCAUGUGGCUUAAUUCGAUGCAACGCGAAGAACCUUACCUGGGUUUGACAUCUAGCUGCGCGGACCGUGAAAGCGGUCCUCCUUCGAGGGAGCUAGACAGGUGCUGCAUGGCUGUCGUCAGUUCGUGCCGUGAGGUGUUUGGUUAAGUCCAGCAACGAACGCAACCCCUGUGGGCAGUUGCCAGCGGGCAACGCCGGGGACUCUGUCCAGACUGCCGGUUCACGCCGGAGGAAGGUGGGGACGACGUCAAGUCAGUAUGGCCCUUACAUCCAGGGCUGCACACGUGCUACAAUGGCCGGUACAGAGGGCAGCGAGGCCGCAAGGCGGAGCCAACCCCAAAGAGCCGGCCCCAGUUCGGAUCGGGGUCUGCAACCCGACCCCGUGAAGUCGGAUUUGCUAGUAACGGCGCAUCAGCUACGGCGCCGUGAAUGCGUUCCCGGGCCUUGUACACACCGCCCGUCACAUCAUGAAAGCCGUCUGCACCCGAAGCCGGGCGUUAGGUCCGUCUAAGGUGUGGGUGGUGAUUGGGAUGAAGUCGUAACAAGGUAGCC
rnacentral:rRNA from 1 species